rnacentral:rRNA from 1 species
UCCAGACUCCUACGGGAGGCAGCAGUGGGGAAUAUUGCACAAUGGGGGAAACCCUGAUGCAGCAACGCCGCGUGAGUGAAGAAGUAUUUCGGUAUGUAAAGCUCUAUCAGCAGGGAAGAAAAUGACGGUACCUGAGUAAGAAGCCCCGGCUAACUACGUGCCAGCAGCCGCGGUAAUACGUAGGGGGCAAGCGUUAUCCGGAUUUACUGGGUGUAAAGGGAGCGUAGACGGCGAUGCAAGUCUGAAGUGAAAGCCCGGGGCUCAACCCCGGGACUGCUUUGGAAACUGUAUGGCUGGAGUGCUGGAGAGGCAAGCGGAAUUCCUAGUGUGGCGGUGAAAUGCGUAGAUAUUAGGAGGAACACCAGUGGCGAAGGCGGCCUGCUGGACGAUGACUGACGUUGAGGCUCGAAAGCGUGGGGAGCAAACAGGAUUAGAUACCCCCGUAA